CGGCAGCCACUUCUGAUGCCAAAAACAUCAGCAGCACAAGCCAGUAUAAUUUCAGGUGAGGCACGCACUUGCAAGCUUCUGACCAGCCAAAGAACAUGCCUCCCAAUGACAUCACAAUCGACCCACCCACUGAGGAUGUCACUUCCAACUCUCUCUGAUGAUGUCAUAACUGUUCCAGAACCCACCUACAAAAGAUAUAGAUUUCUGUUCUAGCCGCUCUGGUCCAUCCUCUUCCUAUUACAGCCAUAUGUAUAGCCCAGUCUCGCCCUGUUAACUCAGUUCCAUUGGGAAUUCUGUUCUGUACGGACGUGCUUGAUUUCUGAUUUAAUUUUUUUCAGUAUAAGGGGUGGCCAUUCCCAAACCUU